rnacentral:lncRNA from 1 species
CUGCCUACUUCUCCUCAGAACAGACUCAGGAUGGAAUCAUGCCAGGAAGCUCAGCUCUUUCCUACAAAGUCUGGCUGCAGACAUGCCCUUGGACCUGAUAGUUGAAGAUGAAAGGAAUUGUAACCUUUGAAACCGAGACAUUCUUGAGUCGGCGUCUUAGGACAGACUCUUCCUGAGUUACUGACAAUCCAAAACUGCUGAGAACACACCCCGAACCAGCCUGGAAGACACUGUGACCCCAGAAGGUUAUGAUCCAGCUCCAGGGCCAAGCACGGUAUCUGAUGUUUUCUGAUCCCCAGGCCAAGCCAGGCCUGCUGGUUUCCUGUUUACCGCUUCUCACUUCGCCCCCUCUGUACCAGAGGGUCAGCUCCUAGUACAAGGUUGAGGACAAAGCCUUCCUGGGCUCAUGCAGCCAAUGGCUUUGCUGCAAAAAAACACCCCCACCAGCUCAAAGGAAGCAUCGAAGGAAUGUGGAGUGUGACUCAAGAAGGGGAGUGCAGAAUUCUGCUGAAAGAAAAAGACAACCAUCCCCGGCACCCUGGCCUGCAUUCUCUGAGUAAACAAUCUGGACAGAAAGUAGCUCACAGAAGGAGUGUGGCGACGGACAAAAUCCCAGAGCCAUUAGGGGAUUCAGAAGUAACGAGAGCAAAACCACUUCAGGGAAGAGGCCUGGGUCAAUUCCUAUCAUCCCAGUAACAAAGAUAACUUGGUGAAUACAGCCCCGUGUAAGCACAUGGGAUCUGGGCGAGGCCGGAGUCCUUUGAUCCCUGAAGACUAAGGAACCAUUUGUUGACCUCCAAUACAAUAGUGACCCACAUCACAGGCAUGCAUAUGUCAUGCAGUGACCCCCCCCCCCCCUUUACCUGGUUCUUUCCCAGUCGGUCUGCUUGAGCCCUCCCUAUGUGUUUUUUAGAAAGACUUUGUUGUUUUUCUGGUGGGACUCUGUGAGCUGACUGAGGUAACGCUGAGCCUCUGUGAGCUGGUUAAGACAAUGCUAGUCUGGAUACUGAAAACUCACAAACAGUAAAGGCCUUUCCUGGUUAGAGAUCGUUUAGUCUCGAGAACUGAAAUCCAUUUCAGCAGGCAGAGACUUUUUGGUGAUGUGAGGAGGACAUAUUUCUGGAACUACAGAGACACAUCUCACAUACCUGGGGGUGGGGACCCAGCCAGUUCAGAAGGCCUGGGACGGGAAUCCUGGAACUGAGCCCCCUCUGCAGGCUUGUCUCUGCAUAGAUACCUCACCCUCUUCUCCCUUGCAAGCUGGCUUCCUCACAUUUGAAUGCCCAUACAGACCCAGUUCUUGUUUCUUAUGGCUCCAUUCCUCAGGAAAUAUUGACUGCCUUCUGGACUUCAAAUUCCUGUAGACAGGACUAGGCACACCACCUUAGAUCAGAGUAGCUUUAGGUAGGGCCAAAGAAUUCUUACAAACUAGUCCCGGAGGUUUCUGGAAAGGAAGCUGUAGGUGAAGACCUGAGAGAAGUUGCCAUGUGACGUUAUUCUUGGGGACACAUGAACAAAUCUCCCAGAUAGGGAAGCAACGACAGGCCAAAGCAAGGAUGCCACCAAAGGCCAACUUGGCGAAGCGAUGAGCUUUAUUUAUAAGCAGUGAGUUACUUAUAGGAGUAUGGGUAAGGCAUUAUCUACAGGAGCAGAAAUGACUCAAAGAUGUAUCACCAAAGCCCACCCCAGCACAGCCAACAAUUCACAGAAGCUGGGAAACCAGGAGCCCCCUGCACAGCCUGCAGGCAGCGCAGCAGGUUGGACAGUGUCCUUUCAGGGUGGGCUGAGUAUGUCUGAACUCUUCCAGGCCACUCAGAUGGGUCUCUGCUUCUUCUGGGCAAUGUCACAUAAUGUUCGCCCUUACUUAGUUCUUUUCUCAGCCUGUCUCUGCUUCUUUCAAUCAGCCAAGUUUGAG